UUCAGCUUUUAGUUUUGAGAAUAGGGGCUUUGGAGGCUUCAGGUUUUAGUUGA
rnacentral:tRNA from 1 species